CUUGGUCCCUUCUCCACUUAUAAAAGUGGGAGGGCCAUGCCCCCCCUUUUAACCUGGGCACAGUAGCCUUGGGCAGGCGAGGAGUGGUGGUAGCAUGGGUGUAGUUUGGGGGAUGGGAGAGCAUUGUCCCUUCAAACUGCAAGCCUGGGGCCAGAGGCAUAUGGUUGCUACUUGGGCACAAAGCCCAGCGGCAGCCUGUCACUGGGAGCAGGAGGGAUCAGGCAGGGGCAGCAGCAGGACCCAGCAGGGACAGCCUGGCAGUGGGAGCUGGGUGCAGGCACUAAAGCGAGCCCGGGUGGAGUGUGGUGGCUGCUGAGGCUGGGCCAGCAGGAGCUGCACUGGAGGAGCCUUCCUUGCCCAGCUUCUUGCCACAGUUGUUGCUGUUGCAGCCUUGAGGGCUCCCUCCUCCACACCUAUGGAACACCUGACCAAGACAAGAAGGGGAAAGAAAGGACUCGGGAGGACAUCUUCUCAGAGAUCCUGCAAGUCAGUGCUGCAUUGGACUAUGAACAGAGAGUCUGGAGGAUGAAUAUUUCAGACACUAUGGAGAAGGAAAGAUCGGAUAGGAAAAAGUCCCAGAAGUCCCAGCAGGAAAAGGAGCAGAAGAUGCACCAGGAUAUGGAGAACUAAAUUUUAACAGUUCCCUACACCCCACAGUGUUUUUUGUGGCAUCAGGCCCUGCAUCCAUACCCAUACCACCCCAAGCUGGGGGACAAUGAAGGCAACCACAGCUUCACCAUACACUGACUGUGAUUGCUGUAUGUGUAGGAAAAAUGGACUGAAAAGGACAAGAAUGUCCUUUCCCCUUGCUAUGUUCUCUUCCAUUAAUUUAUUUGCAUAACUUUUUAUUGGAUUGAUUUUUAAACUGCACAUUUUUUUACAUUGGUUUUGAUUCACAAUAAAACUCUAUAUGUUUUAGAAA